ensembl:lncRNA
CGAUAAUACCUGCCUUACCUGAUCAUAGUCAGGAUUAAAUGAGAUGCUGAAAUAAAGCGCUUAGAAUGGGCAGUGCCUGGCACAGAGCCACUGCUGCCAAUAAAUGGGAAGUAUUCUUGCCGUCAUCCCGUCGCCUACCUGGAGACUAAGAACAGUGAUAAAACCAUUUCUGAGCUUGCCAGAGCCUCAGUUUUAGAGUCCAGCUUCCUGACUCUCCUCCUUUUUAUCUGUCAUCUCAGUCAUCCCAGGUGAGUAAGUACGGAGAACGAGGAAACUGCAGAGUGAGGAGCUUCAGAGCCUGGGGGCCAAAUCCAGCUUUGCUGCUUGCUGGCCACAGGCAUGUGACAGCCUCUCCAAGACUCAUUUUCCUUGCUGUAAAAUGGGGAUAAGAACACCUUGCUUAUGGGGUGAUUGUGCAGGAUGAAUACGGAAACGCCCGCACAGAGUGGCACGUGGUGGCCGUCAGUUUUCCAUCAAGUCUGGGUCCGGGCACCAGGACGGCGAACUCUCUGCAGUCCGGGCCUGUGCAUUCCUUCACGAGUUCAGCAUUCACCGCAACGCCUGGUCAGCGAACGCUGGACUGAAUGGAAUGAAUGAAACCGGGAAAGAGAAAUGAGACACUGCAGGUGCCAGAGCAGGCCCUGCUCGAGGUCCUGCUGGAGCCCUGUCUCCGGGCCCGGCCGCAGCAGGUGGAAAGGGAGUGGAGUCACUCUUAGCUGAAGCAGGAAGAGAACAACACCACGUGGGUAUUGCUAUCAUCCUCAUUCGGCAGAACCAGGAACGAGCGACAGAGGCUCCGUGUUACUGAAUCUUUGCUACGUGCCGGUCAUCACACUAAGAAAAUAACUUGCAAUAUCUCAUCUAAUCCUGAUGCGACCUGGUGACUUAUAUAUUACUAUCCUUUUACCAAUGAGGAAACUGAGGCUUGGAGAGCUCGAGGAGCAAGUCCAAAGUGGAACAGCCCGCGUGUGUGGAGCUGGGGCUUUGAGGCCAGGCCCGUGUCCUGCGAGGCCUCCCCAGACCCCGGACACAACACGAGUCGCAGAUGCUCAUGGUCCUCCGUGCAAACCCUGGGAGGAGAAGGUGACCACGGAUAGGACUCGUGUGCCACCUGAACAGUUGUUCCCAAAUUCCUCCUGUCUCUCUCCCUGGCUGUGUAGUCCCCACCUUUCAUGUUAGGUGUAGGAUCCCUCACUUUCUACGACCUCAGAACCUCCUGAAAAUGAAAAUGAUAAACCAACAAGCUUACCGUUUAUACAAUGCCAGCCACACAUUGAAAGCUCAAUGCAGUGUUUCUAAUUCUACUGGCAGCCCUGCCAAGCGAGUGUUGUUAAUCACCUAGUUUUACUGACGGGGAAACUGAGGUGCAGAGUUUAAGUAACUGGCCCAGAGCCCCUGGACCAGGAGGUGGCCGAGCUGGCAGUGAGCCAGGUGCUGGUCUCAGGCUGCAGCUCCUCUGGUGGAAGAGGGGUCCGCAGUGCCCGUGGAGUUUCCAUUUGGUCCCAGCCUCAUCUGUUGUGAAAUGCAAAUGCCUCGUUUAUUUCUCCAUUGCCCUGGGGGAGCAUAAGCGUCUGUGGCAGCACAGGCCCUUUGUGCCUCUCUCUGCAGCGGGUUUACCCCUAGGAAAAGCCGAAUGCGGGGGCUGUGAGGGUGGACGACCCCCUCUUCCCAAGGUCAGAACGCUUUCCAGUGAUCAAGACGGUGCUGGAGAGGACGUCUUUGCGUCAGUUCUCUGACCUUCCUGACGCCGUAGCAGUGCUUAGGAAGUCGGGGCAGGCUGGGAAGCUGGACUGUCCUUGCGUGUGAGUGCUGAGUUACUGUUGUC